rnacentral:rRNA from 1 species
UACGGAAGGGGCAAGCGUUGUUCGGAAUCAUUGGGCGUAAAGGGCGCGUAGGUGGUUCUGUAUGUCUAUCGUGAAAGCGUACGGCUCAACCGUAUUUUGUCGGUAGAAACUGCAGGACUUGAGGCUGGGAGGGGCUGGUGGAAUUCCCGGUGUAGAGGUGAAAUUCGUAGAUAUCGGGAGGAACACCAGUGGCGAAGGCGGCUUUCUGGACAUUUACUGACGCUGAGACGCGAAAGCGUGGGGAGCAAACAGG